CCCUAGCCCCGAUAGUAGUGGAAAUCCUUUUGUGUCCGCCGCGGCGGAUACAAAAGAUUGGAACGGAUAGCGGGAUUAGCU
rnacentral:sRNA from 2 species